rnacentral:rRNA from 1 species
UACAGAGGGUGCAAGCGUUGUUCGGAAUUAUUGGGCGUAAAGCGCGUGUAGGCGGCUUUGCAAGUCGGGUGUGAAAGCCCUCAGCUCAACUGAGGAAGUGCGCCCGAAACUGGCGAGCUUGGAGUACGAAAGAGGAGUCGCGGAAUUCCCGGUGUAGAGGUGAAAUUCGUAGAUAUCGAGGAGGAACACCGGUGGCGAAGGCGGGUCUCUGGGCCGGAUAACUGACGC